UCCGGACGGCCGGACGCGGUGGCGAGCCAGUGGAGUUCCUGGUGCUGGUGCGGCACGCCGUGGCGAGAAGGUCGUCCCCAACAGUCUGGGGCUAAAGAUCUUCUUCGGUUGGUUGAGAUUUUGACGAAGGUCCUUGCUGGACAAUAUCAUGGUUCUGAAGCUCUACAUAGGUUUGUAUUGCAUCAAAUUUGUGCUUAACCUCACAAUACUUGCGACUAAAUUAUCAAAUAAGGACUUUUUGAAUUCCUAUUUAAGAUGCUACAUAAUUUGGUGAAAGUGUGUGUGUGCCCUUGAGGAUUUUAUUUGAAGGAAUACUUGAUAAUCUGAGUGCAAGGUCAAGGUAGCUUGUUGAAAAUAACCCCAAUAUCACGCUGUUCCUUGCUUAGAUUUGGUGUAGAUGCUUAAUUUGUGGUAUUAUAUGUACGCCAAAAUGAUAUGUGAUUUGAAUGUUUCAUAUUUUUCCUUGUAAAGAUCAAGAUGGUUGUUACCUAUGAUGAGCUGAUUCAGCCUGACCUAUCCAGGUUUGUGCUCUUUUAUUUUGCAGAAACUUCAUCUUGCAUUUGUAUUGCUCUUGCCAUGCAAUAGCUUCAGUAUUUUCCGAUGUAUUACUAUUAGAGUGGGAGGGAUGGUUCGGUGAUGCUUGUGAGCAUCAGCUGUUCAUGGGAUUAAGUUUUAUUGCAGAAGUGUGAGGCGAUGGGAGAGCAGGGGCCAUGCGACCAAUUUGUUUUCAAAUUUAUUAAUAGUAUUUCUAUACCUUUUUAUUUGGAAUUUGUGUGGUUCUAAUUCACCACUCUCCUGAUUUUUUUAUCAGGUUUAAAUGCAAAGCUUGCAGCCAAGCACAUUAUCCACAAAGCUUGCAUUACCACCAUGUUCUAGGUCUCUUUUGGAGGCGACGAAGUAGUAUGCUCUUGAUGAGUUGCUUCCUGGGCAGGUUUCAUUCUGUGCUAGACUAUAUUGCCAGAAACUUCAUAUGUAAAGGAAGAAUACGAUGAGCCUCGAGACCAGGAAGAAAGAGGUGACCUCAGACCAUCUGCCUGAGGGACACGGAGGUUGAAGGCGGAUAUCUGAAGAUGGACAUGACACCGCUUUUUCCCACAUGAGGCCAAACCUAGGGUUGUGGUGGCCACGUUUAUGGAAGUUCUCAAGAUGGUGCUCUAUUGCAGCCUCAGAUAGGGACCAUUGCUUGUUCUUGAGGUAUGCUUUUAAUCUCUUCCAUGUUCUGCUAUUCACAUCUCAUGUGUUGGUUCCUCUCCCAAGUAGAUCCAUGGUGAUUGGUUCAAGGCAUGCCACUCUUGCUGUACCAUUUUUGGUGUGCUCUAUUUCAGUGUUUCUUUCGCUCUCCUUGCCUUUAGAUAAGUAUUGGUUUGCUAGCUGUAGAUGAGGGGGUAUGGAAGCUCGACCAAAAGCUCGAUUGAAGGUAUACUUUGACUGUUUCUUCUUUCAAUUUUUCUGCAGUUCCAUUUAGUUACACAUGUUAAAUUUAGACCUUCAGUAGUAGUUCUCUUUUAUGCUUCAGUACUUCUAUUAAAAUUAGUUUGCAGUCCUUACAAAAGAAGCUAGAUUAGGUGGGUGCUACAAAAAAAAGAUUGUUGAUCAGCAUGUCCAGCCAGCUUUUGCUCAUCGGUUCACUUUGCAUAUAGUGUGUAACUGAGAUUCUCUGUCUCAAAGAUGAUGGGAGAGAUAAAGUGUGAGCAAUGUCGUUUUGCUUUAAGAAAACUUUUUUUAUAUUUGCACAUUUGCACUGAAUAUAUGGUCUGAUAAACAAUAGGUGUGCUCGAUCCCAGAUUUUCACUAUCAGUAUAUAAAACUGACGAUGGCUUGUGCAAUGCAUAGGAGUAGCUUUACAACUCUCUCAAAAUGAGUAGCAUUGCUGAGAUAGAUGUGAGCAUGGGUGAAGGCAAGGUAUCACUUAGAGUGUAGGUGUGUUUUAUUCUGGUUUUCCCUGGGAGCAGAAUGUGACCGUGAGUGUGGUUGGGUGAUCCAAUCUGGUCAAUAUCCGUGUAUAGCUCUUUCGAAAAAAAAAAGAUCUGUGUAUAGCUCGGCAAUUCAGGUACCCAGCUACCUUUUCAUUUAAUGGCAUGUUAAACCUGGUGCAUAUUCUACCCAGUGGUGCUUUUGUUAUCAGGUGUAAGUGUUUAAUUUGAUACCCUUAUGUUUCUUCCCAAAUUUCUGAGAUGUCCAAAGUAUUUCAGAUCCUGACAGGAAUCAAUACAUGCGUGAUGUGUUUAUUUUACUGCUAAGAAUACAUGCUUAGUUUUAUUAUUAUUUGGUUCCGUUUCAUUGCUGAUAAGAACAGAUGCAAAGUGUUCUCAUUCUCAUGUUUCUUCUUAAUGUUGAGAACAGAUAGUUAGUUAAUAAUAGACGAACAAAAUGAUGUCUACAUGUUGGUUAUGAGAGACGAAUAUCUCUGUGAUGUCAUUUUGCCGAACUGCAAAGCUAUCAUUUGAUGCAAUGUUCCUGAAAUUCAGCUUGUGGUACCUUUUUGUUUCUUGUAUGUACAUUAUAGUUUCUUGCUUGAUCAUUUUUUCGUAUAUUCUUUUCUCAAAGGACUACUGAAAUCUGAUAAAAAAAUAUUCUUUUAUUCAUUUCUCAGAUUACUGAAAUUAGUCUUCAAUAUAAUAAUGGAGAUCUUUGAUCUUGAAUUCUGUUUGGCCUUUUUCACAGCUGUAUGCUUUAAGAUAGCUGGAUACAUUUUAUUCUUGCAUUGGUAAAUUUACUUCAGGUGCAGAGAAAAUGGUAGCAAAAUUCUGUUAUUGAAUAUAUUCCUAAACUCUUCAUGAACUCAUCUGCUUGAUUUUUCUUCUCCCAUGAAGGCCUGCACAGCUCUACCUUAUUAUGUUUCCCAUCAUCAUUACUAAUUUCAUUAAGAAAGCAUGGAGAUGGAGGUUUGAGCAUGUGCAAAAUACUAUUUUUAUGUGAUGCUUAUUUACUUUGUCACUGCGAAGAAUAUAUUGCACAUGUGCCUUCUCUUUUAUCCUACUGGGAAAUGGAUUGGAUAGUUUCCUUUUUAUGAAAGCAAUAUUGUUUUCCCGUUGAGAGCCUCCAUGAUGGGACUGAUCAAAUUUCAGUGCUUGUAGGUUCCCUGCGCCUUGCUUACUCCCCGGUUCGUCCAGUAUUCAUAAUUCGCUGUUUGCAAGCUGUAGAUCAACCAGAAAGCCUUUGUGCAGCCCAGCGACAGCCAUGGUGCUGCUUUUCAUCUUGUAAAGGAACUUAGCUUAUUCUUCAGAAUGUUCCACCACUAGCUUCUGGCCAUACAACCUUAUAAUAUGCAAUUAGCAAUAUCCACCAAGCGAUUGAGGUGCCACGCGUUUUCUUUUGUAUGCUUCUCCUUAGGUUAAUUAGAUUGUACAUAAGAACUUCAAAUCAAAGACUCCAGGUAGUAUGCGUGUAUGUAGCACAACAGACAAUAUGCUUCUAUUUAACGUCUUAAAAUCAAAAUAUCCAAAUUGUAUCUUCUGUUGUAUGAAGCUGGUAAUGUAAUUUGGGCAUUUAAGAACCAUAUCUUUCAUAUAUUAACGGUGAUCUAUUUGUAUUAUAGUAGCAUUGCAAAAGUUACUAAUUUGAAGUCAGGUGAUAGAUGUUUAUUGACACUUCAUAAUCAUGGAGAUAAUUGAAGUAUUUCUUGUUGUGGGUUAAAAUAAAGAAUAAAACUAAAGAGGGGUAAUACCACCUAUUUAGAUCAAGGCCAAUGAUGGCUGCAAUACUGUCUCGCAUUUGCCCUUGCGCCGGGGCGCAACGGGUCCUCAGCCAAUAUGGAUGAGGUUGCCAUCAUAUAGGCUAUUGAUGCUUUGAAUGGCAGGUUUGCUAACAUUUUGAUUAUUUUUGUUGCACUGCAGGUUUGCCACUUUUAGAAUAAAUAUGGUGCAUUUGCAGCAGCAUCAUAUAUGGAUCACUGCAUGUUCAGUUGCCAUGAGGAAAAAAUGGAAGAGAAAAGUGAAAAGUCAAUUAUGACAGAAGCCCAGACUCACAUGCUUGAAUCAAUGCAUAAGGCAGGUUGUAUCACUUUUCUUUAUCUGGUUGAUGGUUAGUAUUCUCUUGUUAGAAGCCGCGUCUUUGAUGUCGGGGCCUGGCACAUUCUUUUUAAUAUGCUAAUGGUCAGCCUGGAAAUUCGUGACAUGUUUUCUUAGACUGCAGUAGACCAGUUAUUACGUGGCAGCAUACUUUUUUGCCUUCGUUUCUACUCAGUAUUUUAGUUCUCAGAUUUCCUCAGUAUUGCUUUGCUUUGCCAUAUCGACUCACACUCUUGAUGCUCGAGAGCUAUUAUUUCAAAACUAUGCUCUAUCUUCAAAAGUUCAGAUGUUUGUUUAUACGUUUCGGUUGCUUCUGUUUUGGCAGGAACCUAUUUUAAUUGUUUCUUUUGCAACAACAAGUUAAAAACUUUGUUCGUGAUAAAAUUGACCAGGAUUUGCAAACCAAUACAUUAUUAGCAGUAAUUGUUGGGACCUAAAAUGUAUUAUACCUAAUUCCGCUCCAAAGAUAAAUAUUUUAAGUCACUUAUGUGCUCUGUUACCUAUUUCCAAUAAAUUGCGAAGAUGGUGAACUCAUUAUUGUAUCUUUACUUUAGUGACUAAAAAUUCGUAAUUGUUUCUGAUCUUUGGAUUUUUCCUUCAAAAGUUCAGAUAGUUUGGUUAUGCUUAUCUUGGUCAGAAAAUAUUAGUCCUCUUUUUUCAGGAAUACAAAUAUGCAUUAGUCUAUGAUUUAGGCAGAUAUGUUAUUUCAACAUCUUAUGGCUAACCUUUUCACAUGCGACAGCUUCUCGAUUACAUAUCAGUGUAAAUAUUCUUUUGUCUUGUCUUCUGUCUCCAUCAUCCUUUAUAAAUUUGAUUUCCAUGGUAAAUAAGAACAAUCUCAAGGACCUACCUUCACCAUCAAGAUUUAGAGAUUAUUAGAAAAGUAAAUUGCAUGUGGGCCAGCUUUAGUCUAUAUUUGCCUCCAGGCUCCUUCCUCUUCAUUUUUCUUUUCAGAAGAUAGAGCUCCAACGAAGGCAAGAGGUUUGACUUUAGCUCAGGAAACAACUUUACAUUUAUUAGAUGUCAUAUACUGAUUGUUCAGAUUUUAUGAUAUACAAUCCAAUGAUUUUAGUUUGCAAGUUCUGUAUGAGUUUCCUUUUGCUGUGAGGGGUGCACCAUGUCCCUGCUUAGUUGCUCUGUGGUGAGGCAAACAAAUAUGUAUGCUAACCAGGAUAGCCACAAUUUUGUGAUCUUGGGUUUUGGGAUCUGUUUGCUAAACCAUAAAAGUAGCGGUUCUUUUAAAACACUGCAAUUUGCCUUGCCGAUCUACAGGGAGCUGCAAACAAAAUUAUGCAUCACUGCUUGUUCCAUGGCCGAAAAACACUACUUCCCAACUGCAGUUGCCUGCAAGAUUUGGAACAUGACAAUUUGCAUGCUUUGUUCACUCUUGAAUCCUUUUUGUUAUGGUCAUUUUCUUCUCAAAUCCGCAUACUUAAUAUUUUGCCAAUUACUAAUUAGAGAUGAUAUUGUUUUUUGUCAAAACUGAGAUCCAAGUACAUCAUUGUCUUCUGAUAUCUACAGGUUUAGUUCCCAUAAUUAGGGAUAUUGACCAAAUAUUACUAAUGCUAAAGCGGUUACACCUAUUGAAUGUCCAUUGUUGUGUUUCUUAAAAUAUAGAAUCUUUUUGUUUGGUUGACCUAUCAGCUUGAAAAAUAUGCAUGUACUUUUAAAAACAUGACGACAUGUUCAUUUUUUAAAAAAUAUCUCAAAGUGGCGCAGCCAGAGACAAAAAUCAAUGACUCCAGUCUCGAUAAGUUACGACUUACGAGGAAGAUGUAUAUUUCCUACAAGCGUAUUCGGUAAAAGCAGCAAACAAAUUAAUGUAGAUUUUAAUGGUUCCUGCUUUCUAGGUAAUUGAUAAAUCAUUUUGUGUGUUUGCUUUCCAUAAUUAAUGUCAUGUAGAUUACUGGCUCUUGUGCAUUGUAGGAGAUCGUGAAUGGCAAAAUUAGGUUACAGAUUGUGUGAGAAAUCACUGAUUGGUAGCCUGUGAGCUAAUUUGGAACAUCUUUUUUCCUUCACCAUGUAGUAUCUACCUUAGUUUUGCUAUUUCUCAAAGUUUAUGAUACUAUGGAUCUUUGUAACUGCAAAGAGGAAAUCUAAAAAUAACGUGAAUCUGUUAAGUGCUCAAAGUGAAUAUGUAAUUUGAGUUGAUUUGAUGUAUUAAGUAGGAGCUUCUUCUAUAAAUAACUAAAUGCAGGCGUGCCGGGGGUGCAGGUGACCAUAGCUGUGUACCUUGGUGAGCUUGCUUUGGCUCAUGUUUCCAAGAGAUUGGCGGCCUGCCUCAAAGGGAGGCGACACUGAAUGCGCUGAGCCGAUGUCAUCUGAAGAAUCAAGCACCAAAAUACUGCUGCUUCAAGCUCUACCACUGCUCGCCGUCUCGCGGCUCCAUGGCCAGGUACGGUGGCGAUGUGCUUGGUCCAGUGGAGGCAAGCGCCGUGGGAGAAGAGUAACUCCGGGAGGGGUCAAGGUUGAGCAGGAGAUGAAGGGGUUGCCUUGCGCAGCACCGUGCUCGGUUUACCUUGGGCUCAUCCUCAAGGAUGAUGGCAGCAGUCGGGCCUGAUCCGGAGGUGGUGUGGUCAGCGAGUUCACUGCCGGAGGAGGAGGCGAGGAACAACACGAGGUUUCAUAUCUUCAAAUCAUUCAGUAAUUGAUCUUCAGGAAAUGUAAUAAGAGCGUCGUGCAGAAGUUCAUGAUUGUUUGACUCAGUUAUGGCAAAUGAAGCAAAUGAGCUUUUCAUGUAUUCUUGUUUGUAGCAAAGUAUAAUUUUUCAGAAGGUUGGCUUAUUAACAUUUGCGAAACA